rnacentral:rRNA from 1 species
UACGUAGGGUGCGAGCGUUGUCCGGAAUUAUUGGGCGUAAAGAGCUCGUAGGCGGUCUGUCGCGUCGGUCGUGAAAACUUGGGGCUUAACCCUGAGCUUGCGGUCGAUACGGGCAUGACUGGAGUUCGGCAGGGGAGACUGGAAUUCCUGGUGUAGCGGUGAAAUGCGCAGAUAUCAGGAGGAACACCGGUGGCGAAGGCGGGUCUCUGGCCCGAUACUGACGCUGAGGCACGAAAGCGUGGGGAGCAAACAGG